AAACAAAACACUUUAACAAGUAUUCCUAGUUUCCAACACUUGAACUUCAAGGAAGCAGUUGUGGAGUCACCAUUGAGCUGCAGGACUGGUUCCUGGGGCAGGACGAAAUUUCCCAGAAGAAUCAAUGGAAUGAAGCGGAUUCAUCUGGAGCCGGCAAGUUAUCAAUGACUCACAGGAGGGAGACGAUAAGGAGGCCCUCAAGAUAAA